AACCCCCAGCCUAGCUGGGGGUUUUCCAUAGACAANCCAUUGGGACCCCCUUUUGAUUUCUUGUUGAACUUUUGCAGUUGCCAGACCGCAAGAUGUUUUAACAAAUCAAAAG
rnacentral:sRNA from 1 species